rfam:Glycine max cultivar Williams 82 chromosome 19, whole genome shotgun sequence.
GUACUGGAUCAUACCAGCGCUGAUGCACCGCAUCCCAUUAGAACUCCACAUUUAAACGUGCUUGAAUGGAAAUAGUAUUAGAAUGGGUGACCUUCUCGGAAGUCCUCGUGUUUUCCC